CUGAUAAUAAUCCAGCAGAUGAAGUUUUGAGCCAUUCUACAGGAGUGACCCUUCCUUCUGCUUUGACUGCUGCUGUUCUCCUACUCAUCUUACUUUUGGUUAUUCUAGGAUAUAUUCACAGAAAACAUUACUGUCGAGAGCAGCCACAAUCAAGCCACCGUUAUCCAAAUGAGGACUUGGUUGACAUUGAGCCGUACAGCACCUACAUUCAGAAAGAGAAUGGACUUUAUUCAACGACCGUCUUGCCCAACUACUAAAUUAAUUCCGACAAUAUAAAUAUCUUCAUUUGAAUGGACACCUUUUUAGAUGGAACAAAAUUUUUAAUACACAUUUUUUAUCCUUACUCACUGUUGGACAAGUUAUCCUGUUUCAGGUAAGUUUGGACAGAAACACAAUUGUUACUGUUUUUAAAAGUGUUGUAUUGUUUUCUUCAAAUUAAAAAUACAACACUAAGGUUACCAGCUUCUGAAAGGUCAAUAUACCAUCUUAGUUAAAUGGAGCCACACAUGUAGACGCAUUUUAUGCCAACACCUCAAAUGCGAUGCUUCAUUGUGUAACAUAAUGUAACAAAAAUCAAAAGAAGUGUGGCGGUAGCAGCAUCAUGCUGCGUAGGGGCUUUGCUGCAGGACAGACUCAUGCAUUUUGUAAAACAGAUGCCAUUGUGAGGGAAAAAAACAUGUUAAAAUACCAAAGCAAUGUCUAAAAGUCGCUGCUCUGUAGUGGCCGUCACAAAGCUCAGAUGUCAGUCAAAAUAAAAAUGUGUGGGUAGAGCUGGAA